CACAGACACAGGGAAUCCUAACCUCCAUUAUUCAGAUGAGGAAGAAAACAGAAAUAGUGCAAUUUUGAAGAAAAGAGGGAAGAUGGGAGAAGUGAAUAGUCAGCUAUAUUCAUGGUGUUGAAGAAAGAAUUUGGUUUGCUGGGAUACAGCCUGUGAUAACAGAACAAGGCCUGGAAAGAAACAGGUUAUGUCUGGCUGGAGAGUGAUUGGCAUUAACAAGGAAUAUUACCACAUAGUAGCAAAAAAAAAUAAUAAUACAAGGAAGAGCCAAUGAAGAUUAUGCAAUCUGAAAGAGAGGAAAAGAGACUGAACAAAACAAAGAGAUCAUCAGAGAACUGAGGGAAAGUUUCAAGAAGUAAAAUACGUUAAGAUCUGGCCAUGGAGUUCAAGCUGGCCUUGGACUGACUGUAUAAUCAUAGGCUGGCCUCCAACUCACAGCAAUCCUCCUGUCUCAGCCUCUCAAGCACUGGAUUACAGGAAUGUGCCACCAUGCUCAGCGAAUUUUCUGUUUUUAUCCAAGUUUUCAGUUUGAUUUAUUUUAUCUACCUCCUC
rnacentral:lncRNA from 1 species